rnacentral:rRNA from 1 species
UACAGAGGUCUCAAGCGUUGUUCGGAUUCAUUGGGCGUAAAGGGUGCGUAGGCGGCGCGGUAAGUCGGGUGUGAAAUCUCGGAGCUUAACUCCGAAACUGCAUUCGAUACUGCCGUGCUUGAGGACUGGAGAGGAGACUGGAAUUUACGGUGUAGCGGUGAAAUGCGUAGAGAUGUGGAGGAACACCAGUGGCGAAGGCGGGUCUCUGGACAGUUCCUGACGCUGAGGCACGAAGGUCAGGGGAGCAAACGGG